rnacentral:lncRNA from 1 species
GUUGGGGUUGAUUUUUGCACAUGAUCGGACAGUCCAAAAUGUGCUAUCCCAUAUUCAUCAAUGGUGGCCCACUGGUUUGGUGCGAUCCAAUGGCCCAAAUCAGUUUGAAGCGAGAUCAGAUGGUCAAGCUUCAUUGCGGCAAGGAGAACUGAUUUGAAAUAAUUUCAUGCGCCUGGGAGAACUUAUCUGAAACAAUUUUAUGCACCAUCCAACAGUCCAAAUCAAAUAUCAAACUU